CGAAAAGAAGCCGAGGCGCCCUCGCCUUUUCGCAUCCUCACUUCACUUCCUCCCCCAGCUUCCCAGUGCCCCCUCUCCUGAUCCCUCCAGUCCAACCCCUUUCCGCCACCUCCUAACUCCUCUCUCCUCCCCCCUCGCAUUCCCUCCUCUUCCAUCCACCCGUCCGCUCCUCGCUCGCUCCAAAUCCCCACUGCAACCGCGCGCGCGCCGCCGCAGCCCAGGCCAAAACCCUAGCCGAGAAGCCAUGCCCAGGCUCCUGCCUCUCCUCGUCUUGCUGCUCGUCUCGUCGGCCGCAGCCUCCAGCGGCUCCCAGGCGCAGGGAGCGGGACCCGGGGCGCCUUCCCGGCGGGGGCUGGUGCCGGUGGCACCGUCGGAGGCGGAGCUGGGCGCGAUGGUGCUCGGGCUCAACGACACGCGGCGGCGGCUCGGGGGCAGCUUCCAGCUCUGCGCGCCCUGCACCUGCUGCGGCGGGGACAGGCACACCUGCGUCCUCGCGCCCUGCUGCUACGCCAUCAACUGCAACAUCCCUAACCGCCCCUUCGGGUACUGCUCCUUCAUGCCCAAGUCCUGCGACUGCCUCGGAUGCAACCUCUGAGGCGGCGGCUGCUGUUGUCCGCGGGAUUCAUUAAAUUGGUCAGAGUAAGAGUGAGAGAGUGGGGUAGUAAGGAAUAUGUAUAAAUUCCCCACCUGCUUAGUUAAGUGGCGAUUGCUAUUGCUUCUAGCUAGUAUUUUGCUGUGAUCAUUACUACGUUGUGUAGCUGCUACACUUGAUUUGGUUGAAGAGAAAAAAAAAAGAGAGAGAGAAGGGGUUGGAUUGAUUUGGAGAUCACUGCUAGGGUUUUCUUCAGUAUUCUUGGUCCUCUGCCUGUGGGAUUUUGUUUAUCCCUUUCCACACAUGGAUGUCUGAUUAGGAUACUACUUGUUGAUAGUGGCUAGUUGAUAGCUGGAAUAAUGGUUGUUUAGGUGUGAUGAUUUAGUGCCUUGUAGUGGAUGCUGUCUCUUGCAUCUCAAUCGUGGCAUGGAAUGUAUUAGCUCAUCAAAUCGUGGCGACUCUUUUUCAUAGUGACUGGAUCGGACAGACCUUAUCAGCUCAUCUAUUGUAUGUGUUCCUCUUUUUCUCUUUUCUGUCUUCACAAAAUA